CAAAAUGUAGCUAAAUCAGUAAAGCACCUCCCUUACACCGAGAAGACACCCGUGCAACUCGAGUCAUUUUGAUA
rnacentral:tRNA from 1 species